UAUGAAAGAUGCUUGUCUAUAUGUGAGACU
rnacentral:piRNA from 1 species